CCAAGGGGGCAGCUACGGGAAGCGGUUUGCAACCUUUUCCGCCGGCGGCGGCUGGGAGAUGGGAGACCCAGGGUCGGAGAUAAUAGAAUGUGUCCCUCCAGCUGGGCCUGAGGCGUCCGCGUCAACACCGGAGGAAACUGAAGAUGACAUUCAGUUUGUUAGUGAGGGACCAUCAAGACCUGUUCUUGAAUACAUUGAUUUGGUCUGUGGUGAUGAUAAAGAGCCUAGCACCUAUCAUAGUGAUAUUUUGUUCCCUAAAAUGCCAAAACGACAGGGUGAUUUUGUGCAUUUUUUAAAUGCAAAGAAGGUGAAAACAGACACAGAAAAUAACAAUAGGAACAAAAACCAUUGUGGAUUGUCUAAGUCUAAGGAAUCAAAUUUCAGAUACGUCAAACAACCUGUCAUUGAAGAAAAACCAUCAUGUUUAUCAAAGGAAGAAAUGGAUAAUCUUGUGCUUCCAGAUUGUUGGAAUGAAAAACAAGCAUUUAUGUUUACAGAACAGUACAAAUGGCUUGAAAUCAAAGAAGCUUAAACAUGAACAUGAACGAAUUUUAAAAUUUAAAAUGAAAGCAUACUGAAAAAGAAUCAUAUAGAACUGCAGAAGCUAGUCCUACAACUGGGAUAGUAAACAAAAAGACUGGAAGAAGGUGUGUUGCAGAUUUCACAGUAUCCAAGCUGAAUAAGUCCAAAGCUGAACUUACGUCUCACCAUAUCUGUUUUGGAGAAUGGCACCAUUAUCCACCUUGUUUUUCAAACUCGAAAGAAGAUAUUUCAAAUCUUUUUUCUUCUUGCCUUUUCUCUCCCACCUUUUAAAUAUCUCUGAAUCUAUAUUUUCCUUGCUAUCAUCACUGCCUUUGUUUCUCUUGCUUAGAGUACAAUAAUAACUUGCUAACAAGCCUCCCUACCUUCAUUCUUGCCCUUUUCUAAUCCAUCCUCCACAAUAACUCAGGAAUGGCCAUUCUGAAAUACACAUGUAUUCUUAAAACUUGUACUGGUCAAGAAGAAAUUCAGACUCAGAUACAGAAAACCCAACUUAAAUCACUUGAAUGAGCUUAUCAUUUUGAAUAACAAGAAAUCUGGAGAUGGCUGCAGGCUUUGCUUGAGUAGCUCAAUGGUGUCAUUGCUGCGUUAUCUGGGAUGCUUUUGGCCUUUCCCUUAGGGUUACAGGAUAGCUGGCACAGUUUUACACAUGCUGGAUUUAGGGCAAGAAGGCAAGGGGUAGAACAAGCUCUGGAUAUCAGAAAAUCAAAAGCUUUACCAGAAGCCUUUUCAAGUAGAUUUGCAUUUCACUGGCCAGAACUGUGUCAACAUAACCAUCCCUCAUUGCAGUAGAGGCUUGGAAUGUGAACUUUUACCUUUCCUAGCUUCUGUAAUAAAGGUAGGCAAGGGGGAAGGGGAAUGGAUGGUAGCUUAGCCAGUCUAGCUAUGAGGUUAACCUUUUUUCUCCCCUACUCAAAAUCCUUCGUUAGUUCCCCACUUUCUUCAAGAGAAUAAAGUUCAACCUUUCUGGUUCCCUUAUAAUAAGAGCUCAAUUUUUUGUCUUUCUCCCCUACUAGCUAGUGACUUUCUUGAAAAGAGUCUAUAACCAUGAUUAUUAACAAUGUCUAGCACACAGUAGAAGCUCAGUUAAUGCUUGCUUAGUAUGGGAUAUUUCCUACAUGUCAGUUCAUUGUUUAUUUAUUUGGUUGCACCGGGUCUUAGUUGCGGCAGGUGGACUGCUUAGUUGCAGCUGGCAGGCUCCUUAGUUACAGCUUGUGAGCUCCUCAGUUGUGGCAUGCAAAUUCUUAGGUGGGCCACCAGGGAAGUCCCCAUGUCCAUUCAUUUUUAUGAAUUGUUUACAUCUCCAAAUAGUACUAUUUCCCAGUGACCUUCUAAGGGAAAUAAGAUACUCUUCAGUUUUAAAUUUCAGGUAUAUAGUUACGCUUUAAUUAACCUUUCAUGUUUACUUUGAAGAGAAAUUGAGGUACUCUUUUUGUUAUUAAAGAUACGUUACUUUUUUUAAUAUUUAUUUUACUUUAUUUAUUUGGUUGCGCCGGGUCUUAGUUUGCAGGCAGCAGCAGCAGGCAGGCUCCUUAGUUGUGGCAUGCAUGUGGGAUCUAGUUCUCUGACCAGGGAUCAAACCCAGGUCCCCUGCAUUGGGACCGCAGAGUCUUAGCCACUGCACCACCAGGGACAUCCCAUAACGUACUCUUAAAAGUGAGUUGGGGGACUUUCUAGGUGGCGCAGUGGUUAAGAAUCUGCCUGCCAAUUCAGGAGACACGGUUCAAUCCCUACUCCAGGAAGAUCCCACAUGCUGCGGAGCAACUAAGCCCGUGCACCACAACUAUUGAGCCCAUGUGCCACAGCUGCUAAAGCCCGCGCACCUUAGAGCCUGUGCUCCACAACAAGAGGAGCCAUGGCAAUGAGGAGCCUGCAUGCCACAACAAAGCGUAGCCCCCGCUUGCUGCAAGUAGAGAAAGCCCGUGCGCAGCAACGGAGACCCAACACAGCCUAAAUAAAUAAAUACAUAUAUUUUAAAAAAAUGAGUUGGAAAUAUUUUCCGUUUGUUUAAUAUUGUAGAGAUGUUCAUGGUUUGGACAGAAAAUUUUGAACAAGAUUUUUGUAUUUAGUGUUUUUUUUAUAAUUGCAAUUGAUAAUGUGGAAAACAAAAACGUAACCAACUUACAUUAUUAUAAUCAGUACUGCUACCUGCUUUCAUUGCUUAAAUUUGUGUUUUAAUUUACAAGCACAUUGGUACCAAGUGAUAUUUCUUUACUUGUCAUGAAUUAAUGAGGAAGGUGAGGAACAGUCUUAAUAUGUAAUUUAUAUUCAUCCACAUUAGGGGAAAAUAGUGCACUUUGGUAAUCUUCAAGUUUUGAGAAGUGGUGCAGAUUUGACCAAAAAGCAUGAAAAAUGGUUAAAUAGGCAAAUACAAAAGACCUUUUUUUUCUUGUUAGUUUCUUUAAAAGAAAGCAAAAGUUGUAGCAUUAUUUUGUCAUUUGUACUAGACACAUGACAACUAGAGCAUAAAAUAGUGGGGGGUUGGUAUAGUGAAGUAUAUGGUUGAAAAAUUUCUAUGCAUUACAUGAAGUGGUAAAAUAUUAACUACAUAGAAAGAAAAGGUUGUAUAACUAAAAAAUGUAAAUAAAAUGGAAGUUUUAAAAAUGUUUAAAUAUUUUUUAAAGGUAGGAAAAGGUACAGAGGAAGAAAAACAGUGAAUACAAACAAAACUAUUAUAAUUAUAGGUUUAAAAAUAGCCAUAACAGUAAUUACAUUAAAUAAUAAUGGUCUACAUUAACACCAAUUAAUAAGGUAGAGAUUACCAAAAUGAAUAAAUAGCAAGACCCAGUAAUGUCUGUCUAGAGGAGAUAGAUAUAAAAAUCAGAAGUUGAGAGUAAUUGGAUGGGGAAAUGUACUUUGGGAUUCCUCCUGCUUGAACAUUAUCUGUAAACAUAGGAAGACUGAAAGAUGGAGAGAAGGCAGACCAGCUAUAGACGAUAGAACUCACAGAAUGAUAGAAUGGUGAGUUCCUUGACUUUUCUGUUUGCCUCAUAUAUCCCCAGGCUUGGAGGUAAAGAAGGUAGCAACCCGAAAAUGCCAAUGGAUGCAGACAGAAAAACCCUGCAAAAGCCUUCCCUCUCUAUUCACAGGGUCAGGGAAGGGCAGGCUAGCAAGACAGAAGAAAUGUUAUUAUACACAAUAACCUCUCUGCUUCCGCCAAACACCACAGAGAACACUGUAGCUUCAUCCAGACCACCAAAGGCUAAGUGGGGAGCCUGAACUGCCAUCUUUGCCAGCUUAUAAUGAAGUACUGCUGACCUGAAUCCUGCCCCACUAGGUUGAUGUCACAGGAGGCCUAAUGGAGAAUCAUGACUUUUACUUUUGCUCCACGUUAAGGAACCCUUUCUCCCAACUUCAGAUGUUGAUAGAAACUAACUAGGGAGUCUGGACUUCCUUACCACCUGGGAGUAACCAGGCAACAUACAACAUCCCCUUUUUGCUCCUAAAAUAGUGUCUGCAGAAACCAACUGAAGCAGUAGGUUUAAGCUCUAGAGUCUCAUAAUAUAAUAACCAAUAUGUCUAUAUCUGUUUCAAUAAAAAGUCAUGUCAUUCCUAGAACCAGGAACUUUUUAUUGAAAAAAGACAAUAGAUACCAACACUGACUUGCCAUAGAUGCUAGAAUUAUCUGACACAGAUUUUAAAGCAGUUGUCAUUAAAUGCUUCAAUAAGUAAUUAAGAACAUGUUUUUGAAACAAAUGAAAAUGUAGAAUGUCUCCAUACAAAAACUAGGAAGUCUCAACAAAGAAAUAGAAGACAUAAAGAAGAACCAAAUAGAAAUUUUAGUAAUGAAAAAUACAAUAACAAAAAACUCAAUGAAUUGACUCAAGAAUGGAUGGGACAGAGGAAGGAAUCAGUGAACUUGAAUGUAAAACAAUACAGAUUGCACAGUCUGAACAACAGAGAGGAAAUAGACUGGGAAAGAAAAGAAUCCAACCACAGGGACCUGUGGGACUAUAACAAAGAAUCUAAUAUUCAGGUCAUCAGAGAACCAGAAGGAAAGGAGGAGGGCAGGGCUGGAAAAAGUAUUUGAAGAUAAAUUAUCUGAAAAUGGCCCCCUCUGAGCAAAGACAACUCUCAAUUCAAGAGGCUGAGUGAAUUUAAACAGGAUAAAUCCAAAGAAAUUCACACCAACAUAUAUCAGAGUCAAACUCUGGAAAACUAAAGACAAAAAUCUUGACAGCAUUGAGGACUAAAGGCACCUUAUGUAUAGAGAAAAAUAAUUUGGAUGACGCAGCAUUGUGUCAUUUUUCAAAUACAGAACUGUCAACAUAGAAUAUCUGGUGAAAAUAUCCUUCAAAAAUGAAGGGGAAAUCAAAACAUUCUCAGAUGAAAGAAAACUAAGGAAAUUUGUCAUCAACAGACCAAAGCUGAAAUGAAUGUUUAAAGGAAGUUCUGUAAAGAAACCAUUAAAGGAGGAAUCUUGGAACAUCAGAAAGGAAGAAAAUAUAGUAAGUAUAAAAUCAGGGUAAGCGUGAAGCAGUAUUGUGUUAUUUGAAAUUGAACUUAGCUUUGUUGUAAAUAUAUGUUGCAAACACUAGAGAAACCACUGAAAUUUUUAAAAAGUAUAAUUGAUACAGUAAGAAGAUAAAAUAGGAUCAUGUAAAAUGCUCAAUUAAAAUCGGAGAAGGCAGGAAAAGAGUGGGGAAAAAAAAGCAAAAAUUAAAAAAAAAGAAAGGGGCUUCCCUGGUGGCGCAGUGGUUAAGAAUCUGCCUGCCAAUGCAGGGGACAUGGGUUCAAUCCCUGGUCCCAGAAGAUCCCACAUGCCUCGGAGCAACUAAGCCCGAGUGCCACAACUACUGAGCCUAAAGCUGGUGCUCCUCAACAAAAGAAGCCACUGCACUGAGAAGCCCUCGCACUGCAACAAAGAGUAACCCAGCUCACCACAACUAAAGAAAGCAUGCGUGUAGCGAUGAAGACCCAAUGCAGCCAAAAAAUAAAUUAAAAAAAAGAGGAGAAAAGAACAAGGUAACACAUAGAAAAGUUACAAAUGUAGUAUAUGUUAAUCCAUCUAUACCAAAAGUCACCUCAUUUUUUGAUUUUUAUUUUUUAGCUGUACCGCAUGGCUUGUGGGAUCCUAGUUCCCCAACCAGGGAUUGAACCUGGGCCCCCUGCAGUAGAAGUGCAGAGUCCUAACCACUGGACCACCAGGGA